GACGAACGCUGGCGGCGUGGAUUAGGCAUGCAAGUCGAGCGACGGGACCUUCGGGUUACGGAGCGGCGAACGGGUGAGUAACACGUGAACAAUCUACCCUCUCAUUCUGGAUAAUUGGCCGAAAGGCCUUGUAAUACAGGGGAGGUUCUUAUUUGGGCAUCCUUAUGAGAACGAACAGGUAACUGGUGCGAGGAGGAGUUCGCGGAUUAUCAGGUAGUUGGUGGGGUAAUGGCCUACCAAGCCACGACGAUUAGCUGGUCUGAGAGGAUGGUCAGCCACAUUGGAACUGAGAUACUGU
rnacentral:rRNA from 1 species